rnacentral:tRNA from 1 species
GCCUUCGUGGUGUGGUGGUCUGCACGCUGGAUCUGUAAUCCAGAGGUCCGUGGUUCGAUUCCCGGCGAAGGCG